AGCCAACUAACUAGCCCCGCAUGUAAAAAGCAACAAACCACUAUACCUAAACCCAAACACACAAAAUACUACGUAAACAAACCAUUUUCCCUCCCUAGUAUGGGCGACAGAAAAGGAGCUAUGGGAGCCAUAGAGAAAGUACCGCAAGGGAAUGUUGAAAGAGAAAUGAAACAACCCAGUGAAGCCUGAAAAAGCAGAGUUUUUACCUCGUACCUUUUGCAUCAUGAUUUAGCCAGAAAAAUUCAAGCAAAGAGCACUUUAGUUUGACUCCCCGAAACUAGGUGAGCUACUCCAAGACAGCCUAUCAUAGGGCCAACCCGUCUCUGUGGCAAAAGAGUGGGAAGAUCUUCGAGUAGUGGUGACAGACCUAUCGAACCUAGUUAUAGCUGGUUGCCUGAGAACUGGAUAGGAGUUCAGCCUCCCGGCUUCUUCACUCAACUGCGUCCUUUUAAGCCCGAUCGGACACUCAAGAACACCGAGAGAGUUAGUCAAGGGGGGUACAGCCCCUUUGAAACAGAACACAACCUUCCCAGGAGGAUAAAGAUCAUA
rnacentral:rRNA from 1 species